UGGGGAAUUUUGGACAAUGGGGGAAACCCUGAUCCAGCCAUCCCGCGUGUGCGAUGAAGGCCUUCGGGUUGUAAAGCACUUUUGGCAGGAAAGAAACGUCGCGGGUUAAUACCCCGCGAAACUGACGGUACCUGCAGAAUAAGCACCGGCUAACUACGUGCCAGCAGCCGCGGUAAUACGUAGGGUGCAAGCGUUAAUCGGAAUUACUGGGCGUAAAGCGUGCGCAGGCGGUUCGGAAAGAAAGAUGUGAAAUCCCAGAGCUUAACUUUGGAACUGCAUUUUUAACUACCGGGCUAGAGUGUGUCAGAGGGAGGUGGAAUUCCGCGUGUAGCAGUGAAAUGCGUAGAUAUGCGGAGGAACACCGAUGGCGAAGGCAGCCUCCUGGGAUAACACUGACGCUCAUGCACGAAAGCGUGGGGAGCAAACAGGAUUAGAUACCCCUGGUAGUCCACGCCCUAAACGAUGUCAACUAGCUGUUGGGGCCUUCGGCCUUGGUAGCGCAGCUAACGCGUGAAGUUGACCGCCUGGGGAGUACGGUCGCAAGAUU
rnacentral:rRNA from 1 species